rfam:Helobdella robusta unplaced genomic scaffold HELROscaffold_7, whole genome shotgun sequence.
GUUGGUUACGGAGAUAUGUGUCCAUCUACGGUAUGGGGCAAGGUAGUAGGGGCCGCCUGUUGCGUUUGUGGCGUCCUCGUGGUCGCCCUCCCCAUCCCCAUCAUUGUCAACAAC